rnacentral:piRNA from 1 species
UAAAAUAAAUCUUUAAAACAAAAGGGC